GGUUUAGAGGGGCAGAGAGAAAAACCAAAAGAGUGAUCACUUGUGAGAAUUGAUGUUCCAUUUUUGAGCUUCAAUUCAAUUUCGAGAGUAGGACAUACACUUUGAUUGCACCACAUAAAAGACACAAAUGUGGGCGCUGCAAAGGUAUCAUCCAGACAAACAUUCAAGGAAAUGAAGGUUUCUUUUGUGCUUCAAGCAAGUAAUCCUUAUUUACUUGAUUUUUUAGACACCCAAGCAAACCCUAGUGCCCAAGCCACCGCUGCUGAAGUAUAUAAAUGGACAAAGACCCAAAACUUGAAGACUACCGAAACUCAUAGAGAGAUCAAGUGUUUUAGGAUUGUUAUUGUUCUUUGUCAUUGUUACUUGUGAUCAUACUUUGUUCACUGAUUCUAUAAAGCAAAGUUAUGAUCUGUGGUGUUUGAAUCUUCAAACUCUGAUUGUUGAUUGCUAGUUACCAAUCACUAGGGCAGUAAUUGAGAGAAAGUGAGAGGGGCUCUCAUACUUAGGUUGAGAUACUAAGUAGAAAUACACUUGGUAGAUUAGGAAGUGAACUAUGAAUUGUGGUGUUCAUGAGUGUCUGUAAUUCCUGAAUAUUAAGAUAGUGGAUUUCCUUUCUUUUGGUGCAAUCCCUCCAGACGUAGGUGAAGUUUUUCACUGUACUGGAUUAACAAUUCUUGUGUCUUGUUUACUUGUGUUUUUAGUUACUGAUGUUACUGUUAGACGAUUGUUGAACCUGUUGUCCUAGCAUCUCGUAGGACAUUGGGUCUAAUGGAACCUGAAUUUCAUCAUCCAAUAUUAGUUUCAAAUAUUGUUCUUAGUCUUCUACGGUGUCCAAAAUUUUAAAUAUGGGCCGGGUUAUAUAAGUCCAAUUGAAGCUAUUUCGCUUGUAAUCUGGAUAAAAAAACAUAUGCUUUCGGGCUUUCUUAAGGUAAUAUUCUGAAUAAGUUUUCUAGGUGGGGACUUGCAUCUAUGGAAAACCAAUGUGCAACUAUUAAGCAAAGAUUCAUUAUUCAAAUCAAUGUCCAUCGGUAUUAUUUGUAUAUUUUAUUUCUUUGGAAUUGAAGUGUACAAUGUCCAAUCAAUUUUAACUUUACUGCUUUGCACAUCCAUAUCGAUCCAAUAUAUGCUCCCAUUUGACUGCAUAAUCCUUAACACGUUUUUUAGAAUAAUGUGGUGCUUCCAUUGCACAUUUUCCAAAGUCGCUGUACAGUUUAUAAUCGUUUGACAAAAUUAAUUAUUUCAAGUGAAUAUAACCCUCGCUGAUCCCCUUAUUCCCUCGCUAAAACUCGCGAAAUAUUCUAAACCCUUUUUGUUUUUAAUUUCUGAAAAAUAGAAACCCAGGUCUCGUUCGAAAACCCUUAGCUCUCGUUCCUCUCUUCUAUGCUCCAAUGGCGAAAACUCUUUCACUGAGGUUUCUUCUUCCUUGGGAACCCUUGCUUUUUCCCUCUUCUCGCGUUCCUCUUCACGUUUCUUCUUCUCGAUUGCAAACGUUUCAGGUUCGAUCUCCACUUUGGUUUCAUCUCGUUUCUGCAAACGCUUCAGGUUCAGAUCGGUUCGAUCAUCUCGUUUCUGCAAACGCUUCAGGUUCAGGUCGGUUAGAUCAUCUCGUUUCUCCAAACGCUUCAGGUUCAGAUCGGUUCGAUCUUCUGGUUUCUGCAAACGCUUCAGGAUUGGCAACGAAGAGAUUGGGGUUUUCACAAACAGUUCCGAUCUUGAUACUUAGGGUUUGGAUUCUCUGUCUGCUUGCUGCUCUAUCUUCAUCGCCCAGGACUCAAUUCAACGGGUAAGAAACAAGACCAGAUUAUGCAGGAAGUUCAUAAGCUAAUUCUGAAUUGUUUGAGUAGAUUUCUAUUUGGAAUGGGCCACUUAUUGACCCUUGUGUUCUGUUGCUUUGCUGUUGAAGAUUUGGCAGGAAUGAAUUAGAUUGGAAGUUGAGAUAUUCUACUCACUGUCUCUAAUGUUCUACUUAUUAUUAGCUGUAUGUGCACCAAAAAUUUGGUAUUAUAUGGUUGUAGAUUUUUGCUGUGAAAUGAAUCUAACUAUCAGAUAAAACCACUACCCUUGUUUAUGGCUUCAGAAUGUCACAACUGUUUGUUUUGUGAUGAUGUGGUGGGGCUUUUGGCAGACUGUCUGAGAUGAAUGAGACAGAAACAGAGUUGUAUGUUUUAUGAAUCUAUGUCUAAAUGACCAGAAUGACUCCUUGUUACAUAUGUAUGAGAAUCAAAACUAUAGUCUUGAUGUUGUUGUCUUGUACUUAAUAGUUUCCUUAUUGUAUUUUGGAGCUGUAUAUUCUUUGACCAUAAAACAAGGACCUAUAUUUUAUUCUUUCUUAGUGGUGCUUUAUCUCUAAUUCACACGUAAAACACUGUAGGGAGGAAUAUAGAUCAGUCUAUUGUUACUUCUUCCAUGUUAUAUUUCUAUGAACAGUGAGGUAUUCUGUUUUGCUUGCUCCUCAUAAGAGUUUGUUAUGAAGCAGAUUUUUUUUAUACUGUCAUUUUGAGCUAUUUAUCAUUUUGUUGCUUGCUAUUUUUUGUUUUUGCUUUGUUUAUGCAGUGAUGCCAAGGUUCAAGCGUUUCCACAACCCACAAAAAUCAGCACCUGGAUCAUUGGUUGAAGCUUCUUCACAAUCAAUUGAAGCUUCUUCACAAUCAGCUCCUGAAGUCUCUCAAAAAGCCCCACCAUCUAAGAACCCCGUGACUACACCAUCUUGGAAUGUUGAAGCAAUAGGAACACACCUUGUGUUAGCAAUUAACUCUUACAAAUGAGAGUUUUAAAUUAAAUCAAACAAUGAUGAAAUCUGUUAUUUCAGGGAUCCACACCAUGCUCUUUUCAACCAACAUAGCUCCAAUGUAAUUGAUACUGAAAGGGAAUCUGCGACAGAUUUGGAAGCAAGCGGAUCAUGGAGUGUUUGUUAUUUUAGAUCUUAAGUGGUUGUGCACUUUGUUAGUGUUAUUUUAGAUAUUGUAUGAAUUAAUGAUUUCAUAAGUUGUUUGAUCAAAAUUUUUGAUCUGUUUGAGGUCAUGGUAAGAAAGUUGUUUGAUCAAUUAAAAAAA